CCUACGGGAGGCUGCAGUGGAGAAUCUUGGGCAAUGGGCGCAAGCCUGACCCAGCAACGCCGCGUGAAGGAAGAAGGCUUUCGGGUUGGAAACUUCUUUUAUCAGGGACGAAGCAAGUGACGGUACCUGAUGAAUAAGCCACGGCUAACUACGUGCCAGCAGCCGCGGUAAUACGUAGGUGGCAAGCGUGAUCCGGAUUUACUGGGUGUAAAGGGCGGGUAGGCGGGAGUGCAAGUCGGAUGUGAAAACUAUGGGCUCAACCCAUAGCCGGCAUUUGAUACUGUACGUCUUGAGUGCUGGAGGGGCAAUCGGAAUUCCGGGUGUAGCAGUGAAAUGCGUAGAUAUACGGAGGAACACCAGUGGCGAAGGCGGAUUGCUGGACAGUAACUGACGCUGAGGCGCGAAGGCGAGGGGAGCGAACGGGAUUAGAUACCCUAGUAGUC
rnacentral:rRNA from 1 species